UUUGUGCACUAUUGUUUUGGCUUCAUUGUCUAUUAAUGAAGAAGCCUUGCAAUUGACCCAAUUCAAUUAAAUAUCGCCACAGAAUAUAGAGUACGCUACGCCAUGUAAUAUCGCAAUGUGGUUCUUGCAUUCGAUUGUAUAUUUUGUGCCUAUGAAACACUUUCCGUCUUGGGCAACACGGAAACCGAGGGAGGAGAAUUAUAGUUUUCUUUUAUUUCUACUUAUUCCCAAUUUUCGCCAAGCAUCAGUAUCAGUAUCCACUCCACGUGGUUUUACAGCGUAAAGUCAAAUUCAAGCCCAAUUUAUUCCAAGGUGUGAGGUGGAUUACCUUUAAUGAAUCGUUUUCAAGAGGAAAGGAUGUUGCUGUAUGGCUCGCAUAUUUUUGUUAAACAGUUAUUGUCAACGUUACUACUAAAUUAAAUAGGUAUAGCCCUAAUGCAAUAAAAUGUUAAUUAAUUUUAAUUAAAUUUAUCCAGGUAGGCCUUUCAUA